CCUGGGCAGCGAUCCCCAACUUGUCUGCCGAGACUACGCAACAGCUCACAGCUGCCUGUGCAAUGAAAGCAAAGGCCAACUUCUCAGAGGGAAGAAGCAGGCUCCACACAGGAAGAUUAUGGCAGGGAUGCAGCUUCAUCGCUCGGCUCUUUGAAGAUGAUGACACUCGAAGAAUUGUUUGUCCCUCAGCUGGAUUGCAGAGAAAAGGACAGAACAGGGGUCCCCGGAAAACAUUUCCAUCUACGUUUCUGCUCUACGUAGUGCUUGUGUGCCUUAUGUCCAGUAAUGUGGAUGCAUGUGAGAUAUCGUUCUCGUCAGCUACUGUGGUUUCCGGCUUGCUUGCCGGAUGUUCUGCUGCUCCUCAGAAAUAUUGUCAGCUCUGUUCCAAGAGGAAGUGAGUAAGUUUUUUUUGUAGUAUGCAGAGUUAUGGAAGAGUCUAGACUUUAUGUGAAGAGUGUGAAGAGCCAAGUGAGCAUUCUUCCUGCCUGGAAGUGCAGUAUGAUGAGAAAGGAAGUCACAUCUUUGGAAACUAAGUGCAGCUGUGAGUAAGUCCAUGUGUCUGAAGGGGUCAAAAAGCAACCUCCUGCAAGCUAACGAAUUCACCUCUUUUCUUGUCCAAGCCUCAGUGCUGAGAGAGGAAAAAAAACUGCUGGCCUUCUCGGGACCGGCAGGAAGCAGUUUGCAGUCUCGCCCGGCAGCUCUUUUCUUUCAUCUGUGCCUGCGAACCCACUGCCAUCUGCUCUUUUGUGGCUCUGCUUCUGACUCCUACCGUGGCUUCUGGGGCUGUCCGCUUUGCUUUUUCAGAUACCUUGCGGGCCUUUUCCAGGCAUGCCUGAGGAUUUGAGGUGAGGUAGAAUGGGUGUCAUGGGAUUACUUUCAGUCAGGAUGUGGGAGUAUCGCUUUGGCGCGGUGCAGGUGAUGAAGGUGAGCGAAGGAAGAUUAGAGAGGAUGUGGCUGCCAUUGAGUGAUGCCUCUUAAGGAUCAAAAGUGACCUGACCGCCCCC